GAGUUUGAUCAUGGCUCAGGACGAACGCUGGCGGCGUGCCUAAUACAUGCAAGUCGAGCGGAGUUGAAUAAGUGCUUGCACUAAUUCAACUUAGCGGCGAACGGGUGAGUAACACGUAAAGAACCUGCCUCAUAGACUGGGACAACUACUGGAAACGGUAGCUAAUACCGGAUAACAUAUUUUUCUGCAUGGAAGAAUAUUGAAAGUCGGUCAUGCUGACACUAUGAGAUGGCUUUGCGGUGCAUUAGCUAGUUGGUAGGGUAAAGGCCUACCAAGGCGACGAUGCAUAGCCGACCUGAGAGGGUGAUCGGCCACACUGGGACUGAGACACGGCCCAGACUCCUACGGGAGGCAGCAGUAGGGAAUCUUCCGCAAUGGACGAAAGUCUGACGGAGCAACGCCGCGUGAGUGAAGAAGGAUUUCGGUUCGUAAAACUCUGUUGUUAGGGAAGAAUGAUUGUAUAGUAACUAUAUACAGUAGAGACG
rnacentral:rRNA from 1 species